CGAGCAAAAAAUGGCGAGGAACUUGCGUUCGUCCAAGGCUAUUGAUAUAGCUUGUCCAUUUGACCCAGAGAAGCUUAAUGAUGAUCAAGCUGAGCAAUAUUUAAGGCGUUUAUGGAUAUUAAUGGGGAAAGAGAAAGCAAAACACUGUCUGUAUAUAGAUCCCCUUGUCAUCAAAGAUUACUAUGACAACAGAAAGGGCAGGGAUAAAGUGUUAAGGUGUA